rnacentral:rRNA from 1 species
UGGGGAAUAUUGCACAAUGGGCGCAAGCCUGAUGCAGCCAUGCCGCGUGUGUGAAGAAGGCCUUCGGGUUGUAAAGCACUUUCAGCGGGGAGGAAGGCGAUAAGGUUAAUAACCUUGUCGAUUGACGUUACCCGCAGAAGAAGCACCGGCUAACUCCGUGCCAGCAGCCGCGGUAAUACGGAGGGUGCAAGCGUUAAUCGGAAUUACUGGGCGUAAAGCGCACGCAGGCGGUUUGUUAAGUCAGAUGUGAAAGCCCCCGGCUCAACCGGGGAGGGUCAUUGGAAACUGGGAGACUUGAGUGCAGAAGAGGAGAGUGGAAUUCCAUGUGUAGCGGUGAAAUGCGUAGAUAUAUGGAGGAACACCAGUGGCGAAGGCGGCUCUCUGGUCUGUAACUGACGCUGAGGCUCGAAAGCGUGGGGAGCAAACAGG